UAACAACAGGCUCUUUGGUCAGCUGGUCCCAGACACCAAAAGACACUUCCUGUGCAUCGGGGGUAGUUGGCUCUUGGCGCAGGACCUUGGGGCAAAUGCUCAAAGAAUCCUUCCCGCAAGGUGCAGCCAGUCUAAACCUGGGUUUUCAAACUUUCCUGCCUAAGGGCAGAGAUUAUCUCAUCCACAAGAGGCUUAUACUCACAAGUUCAGGCCCAGAGAGAAAUGUCCACAACUACAACUUAGCCCCUACAUCACAAUAGGAGAGCACCAGCAUUGAUAUUGUUUUGGCCCAACAACAGCACCAGUUCGGCAUGCAUGAGCUCCAGUCAUGGACAACCCUUCCCCUACCCUGAUCCAUAUCUCCUCCCCCAAGACCUCCAGCCUCAUAUUCUGAACACAUCCAGUUUUCUUGCACUGUUCUCAUCAACCGCAAUGUCCACAUCAAGUUAUCCACUGUCGAGCCUGAGUAGUUUUGUUUAGCUUGAGUGUCCGAAUGGGAAGAGUGUUACAGACACAAGGAGUUAUAUCAGUAGUUAUGGUAAUGCUCAAUCAACAGUCAGUUCUUGCUGUUGGACAUCACUGUGAAUAUCACGACGAAUGAGAAGUUGAAUAACUUGUUCCAUUCUUUAUGGGACAAACACAAAUUCAGCGAGGAAUGGGACAAAAAAUCAAGGAACAAUUGAAGCGAUUAAUGCAGAAGUGUAGGUUUUCCAAAGUAGAUACUUCUGCUGUUGAUAGUUGGGACAGUAGUAGCAUUACGGACCGUCUUGGUUUGUACUCUAAGGCGUCUAAACUGUCCAAAGGGAACAUAAAGCUUUUGACGCUGUUGCUGAUGAAGAAAGGCAGUAAUGACUUGACUGUGAACACCCAGAGCACAAUACAUCAAUGGGGCAUGCCUCAGACGUAAAUUGCCCCCAAGAUUUGUUACGAGCACUUGGCACUCUUAUUGAAUCGAGGAUAGAGAUGGCUUUGAAAAAUGACAGCAGUUUUGUAAUGUCGUCCAGUACGCACUUUGACUCUCAACCGAGUUAGUCAGAACUCAAACUCGGGCCUUAGUAAUAUCAGCAAGUUGUAGAGAAGCUCAAACUAAAACAAUUUGUUCCAACAGAUAGAACAGGCGUUGAUUGACUCGUCCGUAAAUGUGACUGGCCUUAAUAUGUUGCUCUCGAAUAAUGAUUAUGUGAACCUCAUAAGGAGAGCUGUCUGCGAUUGACGCCAUUCAACAACAGUUGUUGUCGGGAAUUCCCGGGUUUGGGUUGGUGACUUAGGUGUCGGGACUCGCUUCAUCUCUGCAUAUGGCACGGUCGCAGCAGCAGCAACAAGAACAGCAGGACCUCAUGCAAUCAUGGAUCGGUACCCAGCUGAACACCAUACUCUCUGGUCAGCUGGACCCAGACGCCCAGGGACACUUCCUGUGCGUGGGGUUGAUGGGCUCUUGGCCCAGGAUCUUAGGGCAAAUGCUCUAGUCCUACUCCCAGGAUGCAGCCAGUCUUAACCUGGGGCUUCAAUCUGUCCCAUCCAGGGGCCGAGAUGACCUCAUCCACAAGGUUCAUCGUCGCUUCUGAGUCCGGACAAAGAUGCUGAGGAUGUGGUGGACAAGAAUGACCUGAAUAUGCAGAAGUAACUGCUCAGCACAGAAGACGACUGUCUGGUGAAAGGCUCAGCCGUAUCAAAGUUCAGUGAUGUUGGAGGACGUUGCUGUUCCAUGUCUGGGGAUCGCAUCAUGAAGGACAUUUUAGCUGACACAAGGGAGAGAAUUCUAGGUCUGCACCAGAAAAGAGCACCAGCAUUGAUAUCGAGUUUGCCCAAGAGCACCAGUCUGCCUGAAGAAUCCACAGUCCAGGACGAUCCUCCCCCCCCCUGACCCCUAGCUCUUCCAACCGGACCUCUGGCCUCAAAGGGUCAUCAUAGUUAAACAAUUCCAUUCUGCAAAAAAUUCUGAGAAUAUCGAGUUUUCAAGCGCUGUACUCAACAACCGCAAUGUCCGUGUCGAGUUUUCAACACUCGAGACUUAGUAGUUUUGUUAAGCUCAAGUGCCAGAGUGGGACAGACACGAGGAGUUAUAGAAGUAGUUAUGGUAACACUAACAGUCAGUUCCUGCCGUUUGACAUCACAACCAAUAUCACAAAGAAUAAAAAGUUGAUUAAUUUGUUCCAUUCUUUAUGGGACAAACAUGAAUUCAGCGAGGAACUGGAGAAAGUCAUGGAAAUUGUUAAAAUUGAAGCGAUUUAUUCACAUGUGUAAGCUUUCCAAGCGGGAUACUUUUGCUGUCUAUAGUUUGGACAGUAGUAGAUGCUGUUGCUGACAAAGAAAGGCAGUAACUACUUCAUUGUAAACACCCAGGGCACGAUACACCCAUGGGAUUUGCCUCAAAUGUGAAUUCCGCCCAACAUUGUAAACAAGGUGCUAAAAGUAAACACGUCCGGUUUUGUUAUGAGCACGUUGCACUCCAAGCCCAAUGCACAUAGAAUCGACGCUAGAAAAGGCUUUGAAAAAUGACAGCAGUUUUGUUGUGUGAUCUAGUAAGGACUUCGACUCUGAACGACGUUAAUGAGACCUCAAACUUGACCAUAGCACUCACAGCGAGGCCAUCAUGUUAUCACAGCUUCUUGAGCUUCAGCAAACAUUAUUAGCCAACAAGAUGAAAACAUCAUUGAAGUGAAAGUAAAAAACAAUCCUGACUCCUUUCGGGCACAAAUACUACAACUUGCUGAAAACAUUCAGCACGAAGAUGUCUUGCGUCAGCCUAGCAUGCCUCCUAUCAACUCUUCCAACAGCGGAGCCUUGGUGAGUUUGACUUCCGUCCAAGGUUCGAUGUUGCUUAGCUACAAUUAGAUGCUUGGCAUCAACAAAUUGUUCUGUACGAGUCGCUCGAACGUAAACGAUCUGAUCCAACAGAUAGAGCAGGCUUUGCGAGACUCGUCUGUUAAUGUGACUGACUUCGAUAUAUUGCUUUCCAAUGAUGUGAACCUUAUGCCUGAAGAGCAGUAUGUGAUUCACGCCAUUCAACAACAGUAGUCGGGAAUUCCCGGGUUUGGGGUGGUGACUUUGUCGUCGGGACUCUCUUUCUAUUGCCUGGUCGCAGAGGCAGCAGCAACAAGA